UACGUAGGGUGCAAGCGUUGUCCGGAAUUAUUGGGCGUAAAGAGCUCGUAGGCGGUCUGUUACGUCGGCUGUGAAAACCCGAGGCUCAACCUCGGGCCUGCAGUCGAUACGGGCAAACUAGAGUACUGCAGGGGAGAGUGGAAUUCCUGGUGUAGCGGUGAAAUGCGCAGAUAUCAGGAGGAACACCGAUGGCGAAGGCAGCUCGCUGGGACGGUACUGACGCUGAGGCACGAAAGCGUGGGGAGCAAACAGG
rnacentral:rRNA from 1 species